UUUUUUUUUUUUUUUUUUUUUUUUGUCUUUUUUCCUUUUCUUGGGCCGCUCCCUCGUCAUAUGGAGGUUCCCAGGCUAGGGGUCUAAUCGGAGCUGCUGCUGCUACUGGCCUACACUACAGCAACAGCAACUUGGAAUCCGAGCCAUGUCUGCAACCUACACCACAGCUCACGGCAACGCCAGAUCCUUAACCCACUGAGCAAGGCCAGGGAUCGAACCUGCAACCUCAUGGUUCCUAUCGGAUUCGUUAACCACUGAGCCAUGCCGGCAACUCCCAAAAUGGGUAUUUUCAAAGGCAGUAUCUGAACACCAGGCUCACAGCUCUGGAAAAAUGCUCCUUGUUCUGAGGGUUUGGGAAGCAUGAGUCUAUUUUGAGACGCCUCUGCUGUGAGUCCGUACUAUCCGCCUGGCUCCUGAAGGCAGCGUGGGUGGGGGUGCUGUCUCCUUGCUCUGAGCCCUGUGUCCCCUCAGCUGGGCGCAUUGUGGGCCGGUUCUGACUCUGGCGAGAUGCUUUGGGGGUGUGGGGAGUGGAGAGCAGCUGGGACAGGGUUCUCCACUGCACGUUGGUUGGGGUGAUUGUGCCUGCUUCCCCUGGACCAGCUGUGGCCUCUGCGGGGAGGGAGAACCGGCCUGAAACUUGACCCCUGCCCAAGAGGUACAACCAGCAGAGUGAGUGAGCUUGGGGAGUGAGUUUUAGGGGCUGGGCAUCCCCCAAACCAGCAGGGUUUGAGAGGAGUCCUUGGAGAACCCGGAAAAUUACCCACGAGAGACAGAGUCAGAUCUGAGUGCCUGCUGCUCUGGAGAGUCCUGGUGGGGAGUAAGUUUGCCUGCCUGUAAGUAAGGGAAUGGUGGUAACACACAGUAGAAGCUGAUUUCUCUCUUAGAAGAGAAUCAGUUGGGAAGAAGGUAAUUCACGGAUGGGCUGGGAGCUCCACACAGAUGUGGGGAUCCUGCUUCCCAUGACUGUGUCCUCGUACUCAUGGUCAGAGGGGCUGCUGCAGCCCCAGCCAUCACAUCCUGGUUCAGGAAGACAGGGGAAGGGAAGGGCAGAGGCAGGUGUGCCCCCUCCCUUUUAAGAAUACUUUCAAGAUACAUCACCCGACAUUUCCACUUAUGUCUCAUUAGCCAGAGUUGAGUCACAGGGUCACACCCAGCUCCAGGCUCAGAGAUAUAAGCUUGUUGCUGGGAAGCCAUGGGCACAGUGUAAAAAAUGGGAUUCUUCUUAAAAAAUUGAAGUAUUGCUGAUUUACAACGUUGUGUUCAUUUCCUCUGUGCAGCAAAGUAAUCCAGUCAUACAUAUAUAUACACUGUUUUAAAAAUAUCCCUUUUCAUUAUGGUUUAUCAUAGGACAUCAAAUAUAGUUCCCUGUGCUAUACAGUAGGACCUUGUUUAUCCCCCCAGGGGAUACAUCUGCUAACCCCAGCCUCCCAGUCCAGCCCUCCCCUAAACCCCUCUCCCUUGGCAACCACAAGUCUGUUUCUGCAUGUCUGUGAGUCUAUUUCUGUUUCAUAGAUCGUUUCAUUUGAUUGUAUUUUAGAUUCCACAUGUAAGUGAUCUUGUAUGAGAUUUGUCUUUCUCUUUCUGACUUGCUUCACUUUGUAUGAGAAUCUCUAGGUCCAUCCAUGUUGCUGCAAAUGCCAUUAUUUCAUUCUUUUUUAUGACUGCGUAGUAUUCCAUUGGGUAUAUGUACUACAUCUUCUUAAUCCAUUCCUUUGUUGAUGGACAUUUAGGUUGUUUCCAUGCCUUGGCUACUGUGAAUAGUGCUGCUAUGAACACAGGGGCACAUGUAUCUUUUUCAGUGAAAGUUUUGUCCAGGUAGAUGCCCAGGAGUGGGAUUGCUGGAUCAUAUGGUAGUUCUAUUUUUAGUUUUCUGAGGAACCUCCAUACUUGUUUUCCAUAGCGGCUGUACUAACUUACAUUCAAAAUUGGGAUUCUUUUUUGUCAAGAGGAAGGGACUAAUGGGUACUGGGAGGCAGCCAGCAGCCUGUGGCACUUCUUUUUCGUGGCACUAGCAGCAAGUGGCUUUUCUCCAAAAGAGAGGAGGGUAACCGUGGCUAGCAAGUGGGGGUGGGGUCGGGUGGAAAGCAGAGGCCAACGCCUCUUACUUUUUUGGGCCUUACUUAAAAGAUCAGUGAUGGACUGACUGACAUUUUAUUUUCUAACUCAAAAUUGUAUUUUGUGAUUUAAAGUAUCUUUAGGACUUUCUCUUACCCACAAGUGGCCAGAGAAUUAUGGGACCUACCAGAGUUUCCCUAGGGAACAGGGAGGAAAGCAUUCCACCUGAAUAUUUUAUAUAUUUCACCUGAAUAACAUCUUUGUUAUAUGUAACCACCAUGCCUUUUCAUACCUAAAAAAAUUAGUUAAUAAUCAUCCUUUAAAAAUCACCUAAUACCCAGGCCAUGUUUAAAUUUUCCUAUUUUGUAACUAAGCAGGGUGUUGGGUAUUAACUGGCCUCACUGUGGCGUUUUUGCAGUUUAUACAAAUAUUGGAUCUUUAUGUUGUACAUCUGACAGGAAUUAUGUUAGUGAUGCCUCAGUUAAAAAAAAGAACGCAAAUGAGAUCCUGCUGGAUCGCACAGGGAACUAUAAUAUAUCCAAUCACUUAGGGUAGAACACGAUGGAAGAUAACAUGAGAAAAAGAAUGUAUAUAUAUAUGCAUGACUGGGUCACUUUGCUGUACCCAGAAAUUGACAGAACAUUGUAAAUCAACUAUAUUCUUUAAUAAAAGAAAAUAAAAAUAAUUGAAAAAGAAUGCGUACUCUAACCUAGUAAGUCUGCUGAUAAGCAUUCCCCCUGCGGAGAGCAUCAGACCAGUAUCCAAAGAUGUGUAUAAAGUGUGUUCAUUGAAACCAGAUUUAUAGAGAAAAAAUCUUGAGGAUCCAUCCUUAAAAAAUGGUUAAAAAACCCUCCAGACCAAGGGUUUUUAUUAACCAUUGGAAAGGAUGGUGUAGACGAUGAAUGGUGUGCUAAUAUGAUGACAAUAAAUGGAUGAGUGAAACUCUUUUCCUUGAUUAUCUCAAAAAGUUUCUUUUUGUUUGUCUGCAUCUUGUUGGCAAAGCUCAGCGAGUGAGGUGAGAUUAGCCGGAGUGUUUCCCUGUCCACCUAAAGACCUGGGCCUCUUAGCACAGUUUCUGGUGCCCUGCCCCCGGGACCCAUAGAUUAAAACUCUGUUUUAGGAAUUUGGAGGAGGUUAGUGAUCAUGCAUGUCGGCAUGAAACUUCAGUGUCACACAGCUGCUGCCUCCUAAAUCACGAAGUUUGAGACAGUGGAGAUGGACUUGGUGGUUGUCCUAGGCGAGCAACUGAUUUAUUCUUACGGAUGGAAAGUAUUGGUCUUUGAGGUGGGAAAUAAUGGACUCUGUUUUAUGCUAAGUAGAAUUUCACAUGGACCAUUGGAAAAGUGUGGGCCUUGGAUGUGACCUUGUAGCAGGAACAUAUUGCAAGUAGUAUGUUGCACAUUGACCAGGGUGCUUUAUAAAAUUGCGUAUUUAGAAUAUAUGGAUAGGAGUUCCCUGGUGGCUCAGCAGUUUGAGGAUCUGGUGUUGUCACUGCUGCGGCUCUGGUUACAGCUGUGGUGCGGGUUCCAUCCCUGGCUUGGGAAAUUCCACAUGCCGUGGGUGAAGCCCCCCCCCCAAAAAAAAUAGAAUGUAUGGACAGAUUUUUUCUUUUCAGGGAUUGAACCUGAGCCACAGCUGCAACCUAUGCUGGAUCCUUUAACCCACUGUGCUGAGCGGGGAAUCAAGCCACUGCAGUCAGAUUCUUAACCCACUGUGCCAUGGCGGCAAUGCUAAUAUGAUUAUAUUUUUUUCCCCUAUUUUUGGGCCACCUCAAGACAUAUGGAGUUCCUGGGCCAGGGAUCAGAUCUGAGCUGCAAUUGCGACCUAAGCUACAGCUGCAGCAAUGCAGGAUCCUUAACCCCCUGUGUUGGGCUGGGGACUGAACCUGUGUCCCAGUGCUCCCAAGAUGAUGCCAAUCCUGUUGUGCCACAACGAGAGCUCCUACAUGAUCUAUUUUUGUAAUGAAUAAAGAGCAACAAUAAACUAUCACCAAAGUUACAAAUAGAUAAAUUAUGAAGUUAUUUACAUUCUAAAAAAAAAA
rnacentral:lncRNA from 9 species